AGAUCGAAUUGUAAACUUUAGAGUCGUUGUCCAGACCAGCCGAGUAAAUAAGUUCCUUGGAAUAGGACAUCAUGGAGGGUGAGAAUCCCGUCUUUGGCUUGAGCAUUGGUCUUUUGUGAUGCGACUUCAACGAGUCAGGUUGUUUGGGAAUGCAGCCUUAAUUGGGUGGUAAAUCUCACCUAAAGCUAAAUAUUGGCGAGAGACCGAUAGCGAACAAGUACCGUGAGGGAAAGAUGAAAAGAACUUUGAAAAGAGAGUUAAACAGUAUGUGAAAUUGCUAAAAGGGAACCGUUUGAAGUCAGUCUGGCUGGUCUGCAAUCAGCUUCAACUUUGGUUGGAGUGCACUUGUAGGCCAUUUUGCCUGCCAACAACAGUUUGUUCUGCAGCAAAAAGGUGUUGAGAAUGUAGCUUUCUCUUUGGAGGAAGUGUUAUAGCUCUUCGCGAAAUACUGUGGUUCAGACUGAGGCUUGCAGUGAAUGCUAUUUUGGCUUUGGGGAUGGAUUGCUCAGUGCUUUUGCUUGG
rnacentral:rRNA from 1 species